UACGUAGGGUGCGAGCGUUGUCCGGAAUUAUUGGGCGUAAAGAGCUUGUAGGCGGUUUGUCGCGUCUGCUGUGAAAAUCCGGGGCUCAACCCCGGACUUGCAGUGGGUACGGGCAGACUAGAGUGUGGUAGGGGAGACUGGAAUUCCUGGUGUAGCGGUGAAAUGCGGCAGAAUAUCAGGAGGAACACCGAUGGCGAAGGCAGGUCUCUGGGCCACUACUGA
rnacentral:rRNA from 1 species